UCUCCGUUGGUGAACCAGCGGAGGGAUCAUUACCGAGUGCAAACUCAUAACCCUUUGUGAACCUAUAUCUGUUGCUUCGGCGGCUCGCUCUCGGGCGAGCCCGCCGGUAAUAUCAGUAUCUCUGUUUGAACCCGACGAUACUUCUGAGUGCUCUUAGCGAACAGUUAAAACUUUUAACAACGGAUCUCUUGGCUCUA
rnacentral:misc_RNA from 1 species